AGCAGGAGGUUCCAUGUGGAAGACUCUGUGGGCGGAGCUUACAUUGGAAUUUCUAUUUUUUUUAACAGAAGGUUUAUAUUAAAAACUAAAAACUAGAGGUUGUUGUUCUGAUUUUAAGAAUCUGUUUCAAUUACAUCUUAAAAAGAGACUUUUAAACAAACAGAGAACAGAAGAAAUGCAGUAUAGGAAGCAAAGGAUUGUGGGUAAAUGAAUAAAUCACUACAAAAACUCAUGGUCGUGCAACCUUUCUUUAGUUUAACAUUUCACAGAUUCACGUCCGAAUUAACAGUUAGUUUGUUUGGGAAAAUAAAUAUUUUAAAAUAAACUUUUUUUUUUUUUCAUGAAACCAUGAUAAAGAGGUGUGUCAACACAGAAUAGUUUCUGACAGACGGCACUAAUCACUGGUGAGAAAUGAUGUCUGGAUCAGGUCGAAGCUGACGUUGACCUGUGGUCCUGAGAGGAGACUGUGAUUGAUGUCAAUACAAACACGUUUGGCGUCCAGCUCCUGCUUCGCAGCAGAAAAUAAAAGGGAACUCCCUGCAGCCUCCCCACCUUCAGCAAAAUUGACCAGAUUGGAGGCAGAACUGCUCAACAUGCAGCCUCAGCCCCGUGCACGAGUGUGAGGACUCACCAGGUUGCGCCUCCUGCUGUGAUUCACCACAGGUGUGCAGAUGAAAGUGCCGCUGUCGAGCGUGCACUUGUGUGUGUGCGUGCGUGUGCACACUCACACUGACACACACUGAGUGUUUGAAGUGGAAUCCUGCAGCUGAGCCCAGCACUGGACCUUCUUCUACUGCUGCUGCAGUUUGACAUCUGCUUAAAAUCCCUGGAGUUUCCAAUCCUGUGUUGUUGGACUGAGGCCGACUGGUCAUUUGGACUGAGACACAAAACUAUAAAACCUCAAGGACAGACAGGU